rnacentral:ncRNA from 20 species
UCCCGACAAGGGGAUGGAGCUCCCCCUUCAACCGCCCUCGCAAGGGCUGAUGGCUCCUACCGCGAC